UGCUAUUGAGGCAUUCUCCCGUGCACUCUUGGCUAUCCCAACUAUCAUUGCUGAUAAUGCUGGUUUGGAUAGUGCCGAGUUGAUUUCUCAGCUCCGUGCCGAGCAUCAGAAGGAGGGCUGUACUGCAGGAAUUGAUGUUAUUUCUGGUUCUGUAAGUAUUGAAACCAAGAGUUUGGUUAAUUUGUUGAAUGAGCAUCAUGAUGUAUGAUAUGCACUCUUGUCGGAAUAUGUUAGAAUUAUUUCAUUUGAUAUGUAAUGUUUUAUCGUCAUCUAUAUUGAGUAUCUGAUUUUUUUGUAUAUAUAGUUUGAUUUGCCUCAUCGAAAUAUAAAAUAUAUGUGUAUGUUCCUGGAGGGUAUGUGCCUAAUGCUGGAUGAGCUAGAACCUAUAAUUAGCGAGUGCGUGUUCAAAUUUAACGUUUUAGCAAGAGCAGAAUUUUACGAUGAUUUAUGUAUAGGCGUAGGUUUUUAGAAAAGUAUCCUGCGUUUCCUUUUUUUGAUUUCCUGUUCUACGUUUACCUGUGUUUUGUUUUUGUUAAAGGUUGGAGACAUGGCCGAACGGGGGAUAUGUGAAGCUUUCAAAGUCAAGCAAGCUGUAUUGCUAUCUUCAACAGAGGCAACUGAGAUGAUCCUGAGAGUUGA
rnacentral:lncRNA from 1 species